ACCUGACUGCUAUCGGAUUGAUACUAAGCCAUGCGAGUCUUUGCAGUAAUGCAAGGCAUACGGCUCAGUAACACGUAGUCAACUUACCCUAUGGACGAGGAUAAUCUCGGGAAACUGAGCAUAAUACUCGAUAGAUCAUAAUGCCUGGAAUGGUUUAUGGUUAAAAUGAUUCGUCGCCAUAGGAUGGGACUGCGGCCUAUCAGCUUGUUGGUGAGGUAAUGGCCCACCAAGGCGAUUACAGGUACGGGCUCUGAGAGGAGAAGCCCGGAGAUGGGUACUGAGACAAGGACCCAGGCCCUAUGGGGCGCAGCAGGCGAGAAAACUUUGCAAUGUGCGAAAGCACGACAAGGUUAAUCCGAGUGAUUUCUGCUAAAGAAAUCUUUUGCAAGUCAUAAAACCACUAGUGAAUAAGGGGUGGGCAAGUUCUGGUGUCAGCCGCCGCGGUAAAACCAGCACCUCAAGUGGUCAGGAGGAUUAUUGGGCCUAAAGCAUCCGUAGCCGGCUCUGUAAGUUUUCGGUUAAAUCCAUGUGCUCAACGCAUGGGCUGCCGAAAAUACUGCAUAGCUAGGGAGUGGGAGAGGUAGACGGUACUCGGUAGGAAGGGGUAAAAUCCUUUGAUCUAUCGAUGACCACCUGUGGCGAAGGCGGUCUACCAGAACACGUUCGACGGUGAGGGAUGAAAGCUGGGGGAGCAAACCGGAUUAGAUACCCGGGUAAUCCCAGCUGUAAACGAUGCAGACUCGAUGAUGCAUUGGCAUAUAGCCAGUGCAGUGUCGCAGGGAAGCCGUUAAGUCUGCCGCCUGGGAAGUACGUACGCAAGUAUGAAACUUAAAGGAAUUGGCGGGGGAGCACCACAAGGGGUGAAGCCUGCGGUUC
rnacentral:rRNA from 1 species